UAGGGAAUCUUCGGCAAUGGACGAAAGUCUGACCGAGCAACGCCGCGUGAGUGAAGAAGGUCUUCGGAUCGUAAAACUCUGUUGGUAGAGAAGAACGUUGGUGAGAGUGGAAAGCUCAUCAAGUGACGGUAACUACCCAGAAAGGGACGGCUAACUACGUGC
rnacentral:rRNA from 1 species